rnacentral:tRNA from 1 species
GGGGAUUUAGCUCAGUGGUAGAGCGCUUGCCUAGCAUGCACAAGGCCCUGGGUUCGGUCCCCAGCUCCA